rnacentral:lncRNA from 1 species
AUAUACAUAACAUAGUCCCUCUGUGGGAUCUCAUCAAGCCUUAAAGGCAAAACAACCUGUGUUGAGUUAGUUUACAUAAACCUCAUAACAUAAGAUCAUGUACAUACAAAAGGGAUUAACAAUAUACUAUGGUCAAGCACAACUCUAUCCUCAAUAACCUCAUUACAUAACAUACUGAAUAUUUUUACAUUUCAUCAUAAUACAAUUGUCAUGUCCACAAUCUAACUAUUACAUGCAUAUGACUUUCUUUUUCUCUUCUUGCCUUCUCUAUCUAUCCCGUACCUGCAAACCUGGGGGUUAGGGGAGAGGGGUGAGCUAG